UACGAAGGUGGCAAGCGUUGUUCGGAAUUACUGGGCGUAAAGCGUGCGCAGGCGGUGAUGUAAGACCGAUGUGAAAUCCCCGGGCUUAACCUGGGAACUGCAUUGGUGACUGCAUUGCUGGAGUAUGGCAGAGGGGGGUGGAAUUCCACGUGUAGCAGUGAAAUGCGUAGAGAUGUGGAGGAACACCGAUGGCGAAGGCAGCCCCCUGGGCCAAUACUGACGCUCAUGCACGAAAGCGUGGGGAGCAAACAGG
rnacentral:rRNA from 1 species